CCGGCAGGGGAGGUGGAGUUAAAUUCCUCAGAUCCGAUGUCAAGGCCCGAAAAUUAACACGCAUCUGCGUACUUGUCUUCCAUCAUCACAGCCGGCCUGCUGGGAAGCCCGAGUCGCUGUAAGUAUGGAAAUCCCGCGGCUGGAAGGCUCCCUCGGCGCAGCCCCAGGCUGCUGUCGGCAAAACUGUUAAAAAGACUCGGAAAGAAGAGACCUAGUUGUUCCUUCCGUUCCUGUCGUUCCGUCACUCGUCUGCAGGUGUAUUCGGACUGAAAAUGCAAGGGAUAAAGCCCAGAGUUCAAAAUGCUUCACUUCCCCAGAGAUGAGUCACCCUAAGGGUUCAGUGUAAAGUCACCUCUGUUUAUUUUAGUUGAGAUAUUUAAGACAAGUACAAGAAUUAUGAAGCUAAAAGGCAUAAAGCAAACCAGGUCUGCACGUCUUUAUAAAAAGAAACGAACCGCAGAGAAACGCUUACUUUGACAAUGUGUCUUGUGAUGAACCACACACAAGGUCAUUCAACUAAAGGACUUGCAGUGCGAUCCAAACAAGGCAGAUCAACAAAGACUGUUUGAUUUUAGGAAAUAAAUACUGACUAAAUAAGCAUACUAAUCAACAUUAACUGGAAAAGGAGCAGGGAGAACUGACCCUAAACAGCCAUUACAAAGGUCUUUCCUACAUCACAGAGAAGUCCAGAUAAAAGGAACUGACAAACUGACAACCACAUAGACUGGUGCAUUUUAAAAUGUUGUGAGCAAAAAAAAAAAAAAAAAAAAAAAAAAAAAAAAAAAAAGGUAUGAGUAUCACCUUAUCUAAUUUUUUGAACUGUAAUCUUAUCUUUGCAGUAAAUAGCAUCCAUUUAACUUAAUUACUGCUAGUUUCGAAAUGUUUUUGCAGAAGUGGAGUUGGUACAGAAAUAUGGAAGACUAGGAGAUAGGGUCAUACCUGUGUUCUAUGGAAAUAAUUUGAAUAUUUGUUUUUUAUGGAUUUUUAUUCACUUUUUGCACAUGCUACUAAAAGGGGCCUCAAUUGCUGAGCAAGCACGGUAGCUUGUACAAUGGCAAAGUGGGCCAAAAGCUUCUUGUUGUGACCUGUUUUUAAAAUACAGUAUCUCGAAACUGAAAA